rnacentral:lncRNA from 1 species
AGGCCUGCGGCGGGUGGACGGGGAGGAGAUGGGAGCACUGGUGAGGGUGCCCAUGCGUUGUGGGACGCAGGCUCGUGGGCAGCUUCAGGGGCCGGGAGAUCAGAGUCACCCAGUGCCCGACUCAGAAGUGAAAAUGCCUCUAGCUGACCCCAGCCCCCCGUGGUUCUGGUGACCUGGCUGAGGUCUGGACGCGUGGAGUGGGGACAGGAUGCCCCCUGGUCCCAUCAGUUCCUGACCACUUGAGCCGGGGUGGGCUUUGCGUCACUAGGUGGGGGGGGGGUCUGUCAGACCACUGUCACAAGCUGGCUGUCAUGAGCUUCUACCUCACUCAGGUACAGUGGGGUGGGCGAGGCAGGCAGGGCAUGGGGGUGCUGAGAGGCGGCCUGUGGCCCUGAAGCUCUGCUGUCCCCGCCCCCGGCUUCCCAAGGUCCUCGUCGCCUCGCGGUUCCCCCAGGGGUCCUCAAAAUCUCCCUAAGAGCCAGGGACGUUGGGGCCCCGAGAUACAGAUGAGGAAACAGAGGCCAUAUAUAUGGCAGUGCGGAGACUGGACCGCGUCUCAACUCAGAGGACUAUGUGGUGCCCAGAUGUUCCCGUCCUGCAUCCUCCCCACCACUCCUGUUCCACCGCCUCCUAAACCGUCUCCUCCUCCGGAACCCUCCGUAGCUCCUGCGGACCAAAGGAUGCAAAGAUGCCCAGGCAGGCCGGAUGCAGCAGCUCACGCACCAGCACCAUAAGAGACCCAGGCAGGAGGAUCACUUGAGCCUGGGAGUUCAAGACCAACCUGGGGCAACAUGGCGAGACCUCAUCUCUACAAAAAUCUUAAAAAUUAGCUGGGUGGCCAGGCGAGGUGGCUCAUGCCUGUAACUCCAGCACUUUGGGAGGCCGAGGGGGGGCGGAUCACCUGAGGUCGGAAGUUCGAGACCAGCCUGACCAACAUGGAGAAACCCCGUCUCUACUAAAAAUGCAAAAUUAGCCGGGCGUGGUGGCGCAUGCCUGUAAUCCCAGCUACUCGGGAGGCUGAGGCAGGAGAAUCGCUUGAACCAUCAGGCAGAGGUUGCAGUGAGCCGAGAUCGUGCCAUUGCACUCCAGCCUGGGCGACGAGAGAGACUCCGUCUCAAAAACAACAAAAACAAAAACGUGAAAUUCACACAGUGAGCUCCAACUUCGUGGUGGUCACCAGACGGCUGAAUGGGCCCCCUUCCGUGCAGUGCAGUAUUUACCAAAUUCCUAAGAGCAGGGCUGGGGCUUAGAUGUGUCUUACCGUGCCCGGCCCAGGGCUCUGCACACAGUAAGUGCUCAAUACGUGCUUGCACGUCAGUGUGAUUCCUAGGUGAGUGUUCCAUAGCCCCAAAAACACCCAAGCACAGUGUUCAUCAAUCCAUCCCCCCUUUUCCCAGCGGACCUGCCUCUCAGAUCAUCAGUCUUUUUUUUUUUUUUGAGAUGGAAUCUCGCUCUGUCACCCAGGCUGCAGUGUAGUGGUGUGAUCUCCACUCACUGCAACCUCCACCUCCCGGGUUCACGCCAUUCUGCCUCAGCGUCCCGAGCAGCUGGGACUACAGGUGCCUGCCACCACGCCCGGCUAAUUUUUUGUAUUUUUAGUAGAGACGGGGUUUCACCGUGUUAGCCAGGAUGGUCUCGAUCUCCUGACCUCAUGAUCUGCCCGCCUCAGCCUCCCAAAGUGCUGGGAUGACAGGCGUGAGCCACCGGCACCCGGCCCAUCAGUCACUUUUUCUUUUCUCUUUUUUUUUUUUUUCUUUCUUUUUGAGAUGGAGUCUCCUUCUGUUGCCCAGGUUGAAAUGCAGUGGUGCUAUCUCGGCUCACUGCAAGCUUCACCUCCUGGAUUCAAGCUAUUCUCCUGCCUCAGCCUCCCAAGUAGCUGGGACUACAGGCAUCCGCCACCACGCCCGGCUAAUUUUUUUGUAUUUUUAGUGGAGAUGGGAUUUCACCGUGUUGGCCAGGAUGGUCUCAAUCUCCUGACCUUGUGAUCUGCCCGCCUCGGCCUCCCAAAGUGCUGGGAUUACAGGCAUGAGCCACCGCGCCUGGCCCAUCAGUCUUUUUCUACGAUAGCGCCUGGCUGCCCCUCCACCAGGUGGGAGAAAGGGCACAGGGCCUCAGGUGUCCUCCCUGGCCUUGCCAAGAAGGGUGACCUGAGGUCCAGGGCCUCCAGCAAGCAGGUGCCGCUGCUCGUCGUCCUGGUGUGGGUCUGGCCGCACCCAGGGUGGUUUGUGAAGGCAGGCUCCGUGGCUCUGGGCUCCAGUCCAGGCUGUGUCCUGGAGCUUCUGUGUAAGGUCAGGAGAGUCGCACAGUCCCUGUGAGCCUCAGUUUCCCCUUAUGGGAUAUGGGUCAUAGGAACACGGCCUCGAAGGGUUUCUGUGCACCUGAGUCUCAGCCCACAGCCUUGCACACAGAAGACGCUCACAUUCCCCUUGGUAAGCAAAGGGAAACGGUAUGAGCCAGACCAGGAGGGGACACCCAUGCCUGGCGGGCCUUCGCGCGUGUGUGUGUGUGUGUGUGGCAAGGGCGCCGCCGUGUGGCCGCGUCAGCCCCACGGAAGCGCUGGACCCGGAACUUCGCUGUAUUCUCCGUUCUUGCGCUUUUAUCUGUAGCUUCCCGCGUUCCUCUUUUUUUAAUGUUUCUGUUUUUGUUUUGAGACAGAGUCUCGCUCUGUCACCCAGGUCGGAGUACAGUGGUGCGAUCUCAGCUCACUGCAACCUCCGCCUCCCGGGUUCAAGCUAUCCUCCUGCCUCAGCCUCCUGAGUAGCUGGGGCUACAGGUGCCCACCACCACGCUCAGCUAAUUUUUUUUUGUAUUUUUAGUAGACACGGGGUUUCACCAUGUUGGUCAGGCUGAUCAGGAACUCCUGACCUCAAAUGAUCCGCCCGCCUCGGCCUCCCAAAGUGCUGGGAUUACAGGCGUGAGCCACCACGCAGAAUUUUUUUUUUUUUUUUGUAGAGAGAGACAAGGUUUCACUCUGUUGCCCAGGCUGGAGGGCAGUGGUGCAAUCACAACUCACUGCAGCCUCAGCCUCCUGCGUUCAAGUCAUCCUCCCACCUCAGCCUCCUGAGUAGCUGGAACUACAAGCACCCACCUCCAUGCCCGCCAAUUGCCCAGCUAAUUUUUUAUUUAUUUGUAGAGAUGGAGUCGCGCUACGUGGCCCAUGCUGAUCUCGAACUCCUGAGAUCCAAUGAUCCUCCCACCUCGGCCUCCCCUUCUGCAUAUAGUAGGUGCUCAAUAAAGACCAACCAGAUGCAGGAGUGGAUGACUUCAUUGCUCGGGACUUUGUUGCUUGGGUGACCCUGACCUUCAGGCCCCGGCACCCUAGGCCAGGA